AAGGAUUCUGAUUUGACUGAGAAGCAGAGCCAUGACUUCUCUGGAGGAAAGAUUCUUGCUAUGAGAAAUAACCCGUCCUGUUUGCUAUCUAUCUCUGGGUCUAAAAAUAAUGAACUCCUUUCUGAAAAAGUACAAGUCUUGAUGAGAUCAAAAGAUUUGCAACUAGAACGACUAAAGCAGAUAUUUAACUCUAAAAGCAGCAAGUUUAAAAGGUCUAUAUUUGCAUUAUUUGGUUUUACUAUUGAGAUGAACGUCGUUGAAUCUGACACGGAGCAGUAUAAGCUUACGUCUAUAUACGGAGAAAAUGAAGAUUUUUUACUUUUUCAGACGCAAGGAGGUAAAAUAGAGCUACUAGAGACUGACUUCUCUCGAACCCUUGAAAAUAAAAUUGAGGCAUAUUUAUUACGCUGCAACUCUAUACCUGCUUUUCUGAGCUCAGUUACUCUCGAUUUAUUUAGUCAACGAACUUUUCAGGGC